GGCGGGAUAGCUCAGCCGGUUAGAGCGCAGGAUUCAUAAUCCUGAGGUCGAGAGUUCGAGUCUCUCUCCCGCUAC
rnacentral:tRNA from 1 species